UGGAAGCGUCUGGAAAGGCGCGCGAUACAGGGUGACAGCCCCGUACACAAAAAUGCACAUGCUGUGAGCUCGAUGAGUAGGGCGGGACACGUGGUAUCCUGUCUGAAUAUGGGGGGACCAUCCUCCAAGGCUAAAUACUCCUGACUGACCGAUAGUGAACCAGUACCGUGAGGGAAAGGCGAAAAGAACCCCGGCGAGGGGAGUGAAAAAGAACCUGAAACCGUGUACGUACAAGCAGUGGGAGCACGCUUAGGCGUGUGACUGCGUACCUUUUGUAUAAUGGGUCAGCGACUUAUAUUCUGUAGCAAGGUUAACCGAAUAGGGGAGCCGAAGGGAAACCGAGUCUUAACUGGGCGUUAAGUUGCAGGGUAUAGACCCGAAACCCGGUGAUCUAGCCAUGGGCAGGUUGAAGGUUGGGUAACACUAACUGGAGGACCGAACCGACUAAUGUUGAAAAAUUAGCGGAUGACUUGUGGCUGGGGGUGAAAGGCCAAUCAAACCGGGAGAUAGCUGGUUCUCCCCGAAAGCUAUUUAGGUAGCGCCUCGUGAAUUCAUCUCCGGGGGUAGAGCACUGUUUCGGCAAGGGGGUCAUCCCGACUUACCAACCCGAUGCAAACUGCGAAUACCGGAGAAUGUUAUCACGGGAGACACACGGCGGGUGCUAACGUCCGUCGUGAAGAGGGAAACAACCCAGACCGCCAGCUAAGGUCCCAAAGUCAUGGUUAAGUGGGAAACGAUGUGGGAAGGCCCAGACAGCCAGGAUGUUGGCUUAGAAGCAGCCAUCAUUUAAAGAAAGCGUAAUAGCUCACUGGUCGAGUCGGCCUGCGCGGAAGAUGUAACGGGGCUAAACCAU
rnacentral:rRNA from 1 species